CUCGAGUUUUGGUGGCCAAAUUAAAUAUUUUGUGGUGUUUAGUUUACUGAUAAUUAACCAUCCAUAUAUAUGGAUCAAAAAGAAAAACCAUCAAAAUUUAGAACACUCUUUUCAUUUGAGUGUUUUGUAACUUGUUUCUCUCGAAGAAUGGAGACAAGGGAGGACUUGAGAUCGAUUCUGCCGUAUCUACCACUCGUCAUGCGUUCUUCCUCUCCGUUUUGGCCCUCGCAAGCGCUUGAAACGCUCAGAGAACUCGGAAGCGCCCGAGUCAACUCGGGCCACCACUUCUUCGUCGCCAUUUCCAAACUCAGAAACGCUCUUUCCCUCUCUUCCGAGCCCUUAGCCCCUUCCACUUCGCACGGUUACGCCCUCUUCUUCGACGAGGUCAUGUCUCGUGAGGAAUCUAGGAAGUGGUUUCAGGAGGUGCUUCCGGCGUUGGGGAAUUUGCUUCUGAGGUUGCCGUCUCUGUUGGAAACACACUAUCAGAACCCUAACCCUAAUAUUAUGGCUGUAGAUGGAGAGGAAGAUAUGCUCACAACUGCUCUUCGUUUGUUGGAUUCACAACAACCGGGGAUAGUGUUCCUUAGCCAGGAGUUGAUUGCUGCUCUGCUUGCCUGCUCAUUAUUUUGUCUAUUCCCAGUCAAUGAAAGAUAUUUGAACCAUCUUCCCGCGAUCAACUUCGACGAAUUGUUUGCGAGUCUGUAUGAUGAUUACAGUCGAAAACAGGAAAAUAAGAUUUGGUGCAUCGUUCACUAUUUUCAAAGGAUAAGUUCUGAAAUGCCUAUGGGUGUUGUCUCAUUUGAGCGAAAAGUACUUCCCUUUGAAAAUGAUUCUAUUCACAUUUCUUAUCCAGAUGCCAACUUUUGGAGCAAGUCUGAUAUACCUUUAUGCAAAUUUGAGGUUCACAGUUCAGGGCUCAUAGAAGAUCAAUCAAGUGGAGCUGUUGAAGUAGAUUUUGCAAAUAAAUAUCUUGGGGGAGGUGCUCUUGGCAGGGGGUGCGUACAGGAGGAAAUCCGUUUCAUGGUCAGUCCAGAAUUGAUUGCUGGCAUGCUUUUCUUGCCAGCCAUGGCAGACAAUGAGGCUAUAGAAAUUGUUGGUGUGGAAAGGUUCUCGAGUUAUACAGGGUAUGCAUCAUCAUUUCGAUUUUCCGGUGAUUACAUGGAUGAAAGGGAAGUAGACACUCUUGGAAGACGGAAAACAAGGAUUGCUGCAAUUGAUGCAUUAUGUAGCCCAGGGAUGAGACAAUAUAGGGCAAAAUUUCUCCUCCGUGAGAUCAAUAAGGCAUUCUGUGGUUUUCUGAACCAAUGUAAAUAUCAACCAUAUAAGAAGAUAUUGCAAGAGAAUGGAUGUUCAUCUGCACUGGUUGGUCUUUCCCACGUUUUCCUAGAAACAAUGAUACUGGAUUUUAGUUUGAUGCUGCCACCUCAACAUCUAUGGAAUCAAGUGAAGGAAAAAAUCCAAACCACAUUAUUAAAAACUCUCAAAAAAAUUAUCAUUGGAUGGAUCAGGGCAAUAAUAUCGGGGUUGCAACUGGAAACUGGGGAUGUGGUGCCUUUGGAGGAGAUCCUGAAGUAAAGGCCAUAAUUCAGUGGCUUGCAGCUUCUCAGGCUCUAAGACCUUUCAUAGCAUACUACACAUUUGGCUUGGAGGCAUUGCAAAACCUAGAUAAGGUUGCGCAUUGGAUUUCGUCACAGAGAUGGACAGUUGGGGACCUAUGGAACAUGCUAAUCGAGUAUUCAACAAGUAGAUUAGAAGGAGAAACUAAUGUUGGCUUCCUUCAAUGGCUCUUGCCAUCAGUAUAUGGCCAUGGUGCUGGGAUGGAUUUGUGAAAUUGGCUUAAUCUUAUGUUGUUGAACAUCUUUCUCUUUUAUCAAUGCAUGAUCUCACUUUGAAGGAGCUGUGAAAAGGUAUCCGGUGUAUGUAUAGUUUGAUUUGGGGACUUCCAAGUUUUAUCAUUCUUGCAUGACUACACUGCAGACCGUGAAGCCAGAAUCUACUGCAAAAGAGAUAACAUGCAUAUAUGUUUUUCGCCAAGUGCUAUGGGGUGGAUACAAAAAAUAGAUUAUACGGAUUCUCUUCCUACAUCAUUUAAAAGGUGCUGCAAAUGGAGAAAAAGUACAAGAGUAGUUUCCGAAUAUGUAAAUAAAAUAUUUCGUUGCUGAUGGCAGAUACAUGUUUUACGUAAAUAUUCUGCAGCAGCCAAACCAUGCAUCAAGGAGCGAAGGCUUACCAUGCAAUUCUUGUCAAGAUAACUCUUUUCCAUGUAAUCAAGAUAUUGUAGAUGAAGAA